rnacentral:snRNA from 1 species
UAUAUAUACAUAAUGAUUUAUAAC